UCAUUAUCAACCAUCAAGCCUGGCUUGUCGUUGGACCCUCUUUGUUGCCCACGCGACAGGUCCGAAAGAUAAUGAACGGUGUCCUGCUGGCCCUAAAUGCAACGAGCUUUUUAUAGCACGCAUUUAGUGUUGGUAGGCCCGGUCUCAAUCCUUUUUCUAAAGUUGACCUCGGAUCAGGUAGGAAUACCCGCUGAACUUAA
rnacentral:misc_RNA from 1 species